AAACAAGCAGAUAGAGGCUGUAUCUAGGUUGAAGGCUGAGUGUGAAUGGUUCGUCUGGUGCUUCCUCUCACAUUGUCUCAUCUGCUUUUGUCUCCUAUGUGAGUUUGGCCACUGCUUCUGAGCAGAGUGUGGGAGAUCUACCGUGGACCUCAGACAGCACUGCCGCUGCAUAGGUCUUGGUUUCCAGUGGGUGGCUGAACUAACUAGGACACUGAAGGAUUUCUGGACACCUACUAUAAGCAACCAAUUAUUUUGUAAGUGAAUAAUUUUC
rnacentral:lncRNA from 1 species